CAGAUUUAGACACAGCAGCAGCAUACAGGUUCAGCUCUACAGCCGGAACAGAAUAAACCAUUUAGACACAGCAGCAGCAUACAGGUUCAGCUCUACAGCCGGAACAGAAUAAACCAAUUCAAGCAGGAACACAUUUGAGGUGUCAUUCACAGAGGCCAGAGUCAUGAGUUGGGUAAGAAAACUGAUUAUUAACAGAAACAAUAACAGGUCUUAACCCAAAGCACGAAGUAAAAUUUCUCACUUCCUAAAUCAUUAUACUUUAUGAGCAGCUCAGAAUAAAGUGACAAUACUUCAAUAUUUUCUAUCUACAUAUAGUAAAAGAGCAAUGAAAUGUGUGCUUAUUUUAUAUUGAUAUUGCAGCUUAUUAACUUUUCUCGUCUUGGCUUAAAAACUCCAAGCCCAGACCCAGAUCCAGAUCCUGAAUUGGAUCAUCCAUGGCGGCCAGUGGCAUGGAGUGAAGAUAACAAGAAUGAGAUGUUGAAAUACCUGAAAGAUUUCCAGCCAGGUACUGCAGAAGUCAGCGAGAUUAAGAUUCUGCUUCACGGCCCAAUCGGAGCAGGAAAAUCGAGUUUUAUCAACUCUGUCAGCUCCGUCCUCCAAGGAUACAACACCACCGGUGCACUGGCAGAUUCAACAGCUGGUAAAAGUCACAGCUUCAAUCAGGAGUUUAAAAUUCACAGGCUGAAGAAAGAUAGGCGUGGAACUUUCUAUCCAUUCACCCUUUCUGACAUCAUGGGUCUGGAACCAGGGGAUUCAGAAGGAGUGCAGACUGAAGAUAUAAUCAAAAUAUUAAAGGGCCAUGUGAAAAGUGGUUACACUUUUAACCCUGUAAAAUCAACUGAGGAAUGUGAUCAAAAGCCCAGCCUGAAAGACAGAGUACACUGUCUGGUGAGUGUUCUACCGGCGGACAGAAUCUCCCUCACCAAUGACAAUGUUUUUCAGAAAAUGAGAGCUGUUCAGAAAAAUGCAAGGGACUUAGGGAUUCCUCAAGUUGUCAUCAUGUCACUGGUUGACAAAGCAUGUCCCCUUGUUAACAAGAAUCUGGAUAAGAUCUACACCAGCAAAAAAAUCAAAGAGAAGAUGGUGGAGUGCAGUCAUACACUGGGAGUCCCGAUGAACUGCAUCUUUCCUGUGAGGAACUACCAUGAGCAGACCUCAAGAAACAACAUAUUUGAGGCAUCAUUCACAGAGGCCAGACUCAUGAGUUGGAAUCGGUGAAGAUAACAAGAAUGAGAUGUUGAAAUCCCUGAAGGAUUUCCAGCCGGGUACUGCAGAAGUCAGCGAGAUUAAGAUUCUGCUUCACGGCCCAAUCGGAGCAGGAAAAUCGAGUUUUAUCAACUCCGUCAACACCAUCCUCCAAGGAUACAACACCACCGGUGCACUGGCAGAUUCAUCAGCUGGUCAAAGUCACAGCUUCACUCAGGAGUUUAAAAUUCACAGGCUGAAGAAAGAAAGGCCUGGAACUUUCUAUCCAUUCACCCUUUCUGACAGCAAGGGUCUGGAACCAGGGGAUUCAGAAGGAACGCAAACAAAAAAUAUAAAGAAAAUAUUAAAGGGCCAUGUGAAAAGUGGUUACACUUUGAACCCUGUAAAAUCAACUGAGGAAUGUGAUCAAAAGCCCAGCCUGAAAGACAGAGUACACUGUCUGGUCUGGUGAGUGCUCUAUCAGCGGACAGAAUCUCCCUCACCAGUGACAAUGUUUUUCAGAAAAUGAGAGUUUUCGGAAAAAUGCAAGGGACUUAGGGAUUCCUCAAGUUGUCAUCAUGCCACUGGUUGACAAAGCAUGUCCCCUUGUUAACAAGAAUCUGGAUAAGAUCUACACCAGCAAAAAAAAAUCAAAGAGAAGAUGAAAGAGUGCAGUGUUAAACUGGGAGUCCUGAUGAACUGCAUCUUUCCUGUGAGGAACUACCAUGAACAGGUUACCAACGACUUGUACAUGGAUAUUCUGAUUCUCAUGGCAAUCACUAAUAUCAUUAGAUUUGCCAAUGACUAUGUUGAAGACCAAGUUUACAAUGAAUAAGUUCCCCUUGUUUCUUGUUUAAUCUCAAACAUGCAACUGGAUUGUUUCAGGAAUUCACAGAGGUUUACUUAGAGACUAUUAAAACAAGCUUAAUCAUUUCAAUUGCGGUGAUGCAGUGAAUAUUCAUUGAGAAUAUUUAGUGAUUAUGAUACAUGAAAUACAUUGGAAAAUUAUCACAUCUCAUCUUUAUUUGCUAUUAUCUUUUAUGACUGAUAUCUUUAUGACUUUAUGACAAUGAUAUUGUUUUAAUGAAGGUCACUUGGAGCAUGAUUUUCUCUUUUUUCCAAUUUUAAUGUAUACAACAAGAGUAUAAAUAAAAGACAGACCUACAAGAGAGACACUGUAGGAGUAAUCUUUUCUAUUGACAUUUUAUGGGGUUAAUAUUCCUGGCCAAAAAAUAAAUAAAUUUGCACACUAAUAUUUUAUUGGAAAGCUUUUAUACAUUUACUCCCAACUUUCCCGAACUCUCACCUUUUCCAUGAUUCAUUGUUGCGUCAUAGCGGAAGCCGGUAUCUUUCUUCUGCUCCACUCUGUUGACGUUUGUAGCUAAUGCUACCGUAACUGCUAGGUACCGUAGGUAAGAUCAAAGAUGACUAAAUGAAGGUUACAUGGGUCCGAUUUUCUGACGUGCUCUGCGGAAAUCAAAAACCAGCAUCCGGGAGAGGUGGGUCUCAUGGCAACCCCAACUGUCUCUCGUAGGAAAGCCAUGGAUAGCUUUGAUUACAGCACACAUUCACAGUUUUGACAACCUUAUACGAUGUCACAACUUUUAUUUCCAUCCAGAGUUGCAUUAAUUUUUCACCAGGAUCUUGUAUUGAUGACAGGAAAGUUGAGCCACUCUGUAAAAUCUCCAGCACAUAGACUUUCAAUGGGGUUAAGAUCAGGACUCUCUGGUGGUUAAUUCAUACUGAAAAUUAUUCCUCGUGCUUCUUGAACCACUCUUUCACUAUUUGAGUCCAAUGAAUCCUGCCAUCGUCCUGGAAUAUGGCUAUUGCAUCAGGGAAGAAAAACCCUACUGAUGUGAACCUGGUAAUUCAGUACAUACAGGUCAUCAGCUGACUUCAUUUUAUUGCCCCAUACCGUUGCUGAGCCUUGACCUGACCAACUGAAUCAACCCCAGACAACACUGCCUCCAGAGGCUUGUAAAGUGGACAGUAUGCAUGAUGGGGGCAUCGCUUCAUGAGCUUCUCUUCUUACCUUGACAUGCCCAUCACUCUUGAAUAGGGUCAGUCUGGACUCAUCAGACCACAUGACUUAUUUCCAUUGCUCCAGAGUCCAAUUUUUAUGCUCCCUAACAAAAUGAAGCCUUUUCUCCUGAUUAUCCUCACUAACAAGUGGUUUUCUUAUGGAUGCACAACUGCUAAGUACCAAUCCUGUGAAAUCUCGUCACACUGUGAGUGUGAAAAUGCUCUUAAUUUCACUAUCAAACAUAGCUGAGUUCUACUGUUGAUUUGUUAUGAUUUCACUUCAAGUAUUUA